CCUACGGGUGGCUGCAGUGGGGAAUAUUGCACAAUGGGCGCAAGCCUGAUGCAGCCAUGCCGCGUGUGUGAAGAAGGUCUUCGGGUUGUAAAGCACUUUCAGCGGGGAGGAAGGCGUUAAGGUUAAUAACCUUGGCGAUUGACGUUACCCGCAGAAGAAGCACCGGCUAACUCCGUGCCAGCAGCCGCGGUAAUACGGAGGGUGCAAGCGUUAAUCGGAAUUACUGGGCGUAAAGCGCACGCAGGCGGUCUGUCAAGUCGGAUGUGAAAUCCCCGGGCUCAACCUGGGAACUGCAUUCGAAACUGGCAGGCUAGAGUCUUGUAGAGGGGGGUAGAAUUCCAGGUGUAGCGGUGAAAUGCGUAGGGAUCUGGAGGAAUACCGGUGGCGAAGGCGGCCCCCUGGACAAAGACUGACGCUCAGGUGCGAAAGCGUGGGGAGCAAACAGGAUUAGAUACCCCUGUAGUC
rnacentral:rRNA from 1 species